UACAGAGGUCUCAAGCGUUGUUCGGAUUCAUUGGGCGUAAAGGGUGCGUAGGCGGUGCGGCAAGUCGGGAGUGAAAUCUCUGGGCUCAACCCAGAGGCUGCUUCCGAAACUGCUGUGCUUGAGUGUGGGAGAGGCGCGUGGAAUUGCAGGUGUAGCGGUGAAAUGCGUAGAUAUCGUAAGGAAGACCAGUGGCGAAGGCGGGUCUCUGGACAGUUCCUGACGCUGAGGCACGAAGGCCAGGGGAGCAAACGGG
rnacentral:rRNA from 1 species